UCGAGCGCCCCGCAAGGGGAGCGGCAGACGGGUGAGUAACGCGUGGGAAUCUACCGAGCCCUACGGAAUAACGCAUGGAAACGUGUGCUAAUACCGUAUACGCCCUACGGGGGAAAGAUUUAUCGGGGUUUGAUGAGCCCGCGUUGGAUUAGCUAGUUGGUGGGGUAAAGGCCUACCAAGGCGACGAUCCAUAGCUGGUCUGAGAGGAUGAUCAGCCACAUUGGGACUGAGACACGGCCCAAACUCCUACGGGAGGCAGCAGUGGGGAAUAUUGGACAAUGGGCGCAAGCCUGAUCCAGCCAUGCCGCGUGAGUGAUGAAGGUCUUAGGAUUGUAAAGCUCUUUCACCGACGAAGAUAAUGACGGUAGUCGGAGAAGAAGCCCCGGCUAACUUCGUGCCAGCAGCCGCGGUAAUACGAAGGGGGCUAGCGUUGUUCGGAAUUACUGGGCGUAAAGCGCAUGUAGGCGGAUAUUUAAGUCAGGGGUGAAAUCCCAGAGCUCAACUCUGGAACUGCCUUUGAUACUGGGUAUCUCGAGUAUGGAAGAGGUGAGUGGAAUUCCGAGUGUAGAGGUGA
rnacentral:rRNA from 1 species